GUGCUCACUUUGGAAGCACAUAGACCAAAAUUGGAAUCAUACAGAGAAGAUAAGCAUGUCCUCUGUGCAAGGAUGACAUAAGUUUGUGAUACAUUUCAUAUUUUU